rnacentral:rRNA from 1 species
AUUGAACGCUGGCGGCAUGCUUUACACAUGCAAGUCGAACGGGCUUGGGGGCUUGCUCCCAAGUUAGUGGCGAACGGGUGAGUAAUACAUCGGAACGUACCGUGUAGUGGGGGAUAACGUAGCGAAAGUUACGCUAAUACCGCAUACGAUCUACGGAUGAAAGCAGGGGACCUUCGGGCCUUGUGCUAUACGAGCGGCCGAUGUCUGAUUAGCUAGUUGGUGAGGUAAAGGCUCACCAAGGCGACGAUCAGUAGCGGGUCUGAGAGGAUGAUCCGCCACACUGGAACUGAGACACGGCCCAGACUCCUACGGGAGGCAGCAGUGGGGAAUUUUGGACAAUGGGCGAAAGCCUGAUCCAGCCAUGCCGCGUGUCUGAAGAAGGCC